rnacentral:rRNA from 1 species
UGCCCUACGGGAGGCAGCAGUGGGGGAUAUUGCACAAUGGGGGGAACCCUGAUGCAGCGACGCCGCGUGAAGGAAGAAGUAUCUCGGUAUGUAAACUUCUAUCAGCAGGGAAGAAAAUGACGGUACCUGACUAAGAAGCCCCGGCUAACUACGUGCCAGCAGCCGCGGUAAUACGUAGGGGGCAAGCGUUAUCCGGAUUUACUGGGUGUAAAGGGAGCGUAGACGGCAUAGCAAGUCUGAAGUGAAAGCCCGUGGCUCAACCGCGGAACUGCUUUGGAAACUGUUAAGCUGGAGUACUGGAGAGG